rnacentral:rRNA from 1 species
UACGGAGGAUCCAAGCGUUAUCCGGAUUUAUUGGGUUUAAAGGGUGCGUAGGCGGCUAUUUAAGUCAGAGGUGAAAACUUGCAGCUCAACUGUAAGCCUGCCUUUGAUACUGAAUAGCUUGAAUGAACUAGAGGUAGGCGGAAUGUGACAAGUAGCGGUGAAAUGCAUAGAUAUGUCACAGAACACCAAUUGCGAAGGCAGCUUACUAUGGUUUAAUUGACGCUGAGGCACGAAAGCGUGGGGAUCAAAC